rnacentral:rRNA from 1 species
AGUNCAGCCUGCCCAGUGACNAAGUUCAACGGCCGCGGUACCCUAACCGUGCGAAGGUAGCAUAAUCACUUGUUCUUUAAAUGAGGACUUGUAUCAAUGGCAUCACGAGGGUUAAACUGUCUCCUUUCUCAAAUCAAUGAAACUAAUCUCUCCGUGAAGAAACGGAGAUAAACUUAUAAGACGAGAAGACCCCAUGGAGCUUUAAACCCAGCUACACCCCCGCUAAAUUAUACUUUUUAAUCUUUAGGGCCCUGUAUUACUGGUUUUAGGUUGGGGUGACCACGGAGCACAAAAUAGCCUCCAUAAUGAAUAGACUUUAUCUUUAUCCAUGAACUACAUCUCUAAGAAUUAGAAUUCUAACAUAAAAUGAUCCGAUAUUCGAUCAACGAACCAAGUUACCCUGGGGAUAACAGCGCAAUCCACUUCAAGAGCCCCUAUCGACAAGUGGGUUUACGACCUCGAUGUUGGAUCAGGGUAUCCCAGUGGUGCAGCAACUACUAAAGGUUCGUUUGUUCAACGAUUAAAACCCUACAUGAUCUGAUUUCAAAACCGGGA